rnacentral:rRNA from 1 species
UACGGGGGGGGGCAAGCGUUGUUCGGAAUUACUGGGCGUAAAGGGCGCGUAGGCGGUUCGCUAAGUCGGAUGUGAAAACUCUGGGCUCAACCCAGAGCCUGCAUCCGAAACUGGCGGGCUAGAGUUCUGGAGGGGGUAGCGGAAUUCCUGGUGUAGCGGUGAAAUGCGUAGAUAUCAGGAGGAACACCGGUGGCGAAGGCGGCUACCUGGACAGAAACUGACGCUGAGGCGCGAAAGCUAGGGGAGCAAACAGG